UACGUAGGUGGCAAGCGUUGUCCGGAUUUACUGGGCGUAAAGGAUGCGUAGGCGGACAUUUAAGUCAGAUGUGAAAUACCCGAGCUUAACUUGGGUGCUGCAUUUGAAACUGGGUGUCUAGAGUGCAGGAGAGGUAAGUGGAAUUCCCGGUGUAGUGGUGAAAUGCGUAGAUAUCGGGAGGAACACCAGUGGCGAAGGCGGCUACCUGGGCUGCAACUGACGCUGAGGCGCGAAGGCUAGGGUAGCAAACAGG
rnacentral:rRNA from 1 species